CUCAGUGCGGCUCAGGCUCUUCACGGGAGCGCAUCGUAACAGCUACAGAGACGCUUGUUGGAGUUCCAGCAGAGAUCAUCACUUUACUGGACCACAAGGAGGAAACAGCUUCUUCUAUUACUUAUUGGAAAUAAUCACACUGAUCGAUCUGCGUGAUUUACCAAAGCAGCUAUCACUUUACGCAAGGCUUCUUUGGACACAUAAAGAGGAUUAAAUGCUGCCAUUAGGCUACACUACUGACACACGUGGAGGAGUUAUUAUUAUUAUUAUUGGUAAAACUUUAUGAUGGCAACAGCUGAUGGAUUCAACACUCCAGCUGUGUGUAGUCCUGUAGGAUAUGAGGAAAUACUGUAUUUUACACCGGAUGAGUGGUGUCCAUUUCUCCUGCUGCCAAAGUCCUUCUGCUGGACAAGUCGUUUGUCGGACAGACGAGUCUUUUGGGAUACUAUACGCGUGUGACCAGUGUCAUAGUUGGCCAAUACCAUAAUAUGAUUUUGGAAAUCGAUAUUUGAUUCUGGCACAAGGAAAGGAAUAUCCUGGAAUAUUUUUUAAAAGUGAUGCUCAGCAGAUGUCCAGCAGUUUGGAUAAUGACAGAACGCAUCUCCUCAGCAGUGGGGAGGAUAAAGGAGACAUUUUCAGUGUGAAGAGGAGCGUGAAAUUUUCUGUGUGACCUCUCCGAGACACAGCAGACCACCAGGCUCCUCAGACGAUGAAGGAAUCCAAAUUCUUGGAAUGAGAUAUCAACCUUUAAUUGCUUCCCAGGGAUCUUCUGAUGAUCUCAGGUGAGCACCCAGAAGAGGCUGAGUAAUGGAAACAUGAUCUCAUGAGAUUCAACAGGAUCAUACUAAAUCCUGGUUUGGACUGUGGACCAGCAUCCCCUGCAGCAGAUGUUUGCUCCUGGCAUGGCUGCGAACAGCUUGAGCUCCAUCACUGACAAUCUCACUCUCAGGAUCCAGCGCCAGCAGCAUGGACUUGGAGAAGCUGUGACAUAAACUCAGCGGGACAGUGGAGUGUAUUCUGCUGCUCAGACAUUAUGGAACACAUCAGUCAACCCCGUCUGGAGAGGCGCUCGGUAGGAAAGUCAACUCCACGAAUGCACGUUCACCAUAGUUACCACAAUGGAUCUACACAUUGUUUGACUUUUUCUAAAUUGAACCUGGAUUAAUAUUUUCCUGUACAUACAUCUGCUUUUGAUAUUCACUGUUUAUUCACACUGUUGCUCAUACACUGCAGUUGUGACAUAUACUGUGUUAUUCUGGAUACAGUAUCAACAAGCGCUGGAACAGUAAAUGGAAAAUAAUCAAAUGUUAUUUUUCAUUUUUAGUUCUAUUUUUACAGACUGAAGGCGGCGCUUAUACCAGUGCAGUCACAUACAAUAAGUGUACUGUAUCUUGUGAAGAGCACAAAAAAAGUUUCCUAUUGUGUAAAAUGAACACAUAUAUGAUCAAGAUUCCAUUGAAGUUAGUUACUCAGUCAUUGGAAAUGUAACUUUAUCAUUUGACAUCUCCUAAUUGCAAUCACAAAGAAGCCAUUGUAAUCAAGUUGCUUGAAUGCAACUCUUUAUUGACACUACAUUUUAUUGUGACACAUUGGCAGCCUUUGUAAGUAUUGGUUAACAAUCCUGUCAAGGUGUUUAUUCUGAUGAUGAUUUAUAGCUCCAUAACAGUUGUUGUGCCGGUAAAACCCCACUAACCGAAAUAAAGAAAGUGUAUCCAA